GCCGGGCCCGCCGGCGGCCUUACCGCCUCCACGGCGUGCUGCAGGAUGGAGGUGAACUUGGAGAACAUCCUGUCCCGCGACUGCAGCAGCCGCUGCCGGGAGGACCUCGAGAGCUCCUCGAUCCGCCGCCGCCGCCGCUCCAGGAGAGAAGGAGACAAAGAGAGUUUUAUUUCACCUCUGAAUCAAAUACUUCAGAGAAAAAAAACAUCCCUCCCAUUUUGCGGCACCACAGGAAAAGCAGAGGCAUGGAGAGCUACAGCCCAAAUACUCCAUGGAAGUAAAUACUAGUUGUAUGUGGACACCUUUAUUGCAGUUGUUAAAGAGCAGAGCUAUUUCCUUCUCAAAAUCCAGGAGUCCCAAUAUGUCAAUAUCAAUUUAAAAGAAGAAGUUCCUGCAGUCUGGACUUUUGCUUCAGAGAGCCUGAAGAUUUGGUGAAUUUUUUUACCCUAGAUGAAAAUUUUCCUGUUAGUGCUAUGCCAAAUACCUGUUGACAUUCUGUGCAGGAUUUUAGUGUGUUUGUAAUAAUCAGAUUGACAUCUAUGUUUUCAGUGACUGCUUGGAUGAAAUAAAGAAUGAAGUUUUAGUGAUUCA